AUUCAGUGAAAACUUUAUGUGUGUUUCAGACGAAGUGAUCAAUUACUGAUUGAAAUUUGUUACGAAGCCACGAAGAGUACUCCCAAAAUGCGAUGACAUACGUGCGGAAUUAUGGAUCGCGGUCAAUCAGCUAGCGAUCGUAACGAUAUCACAGCACGACUUUUUAAACAAUAGCUGCGAUGUUUGAUGGUCUUUAUCUUGAAGCAACCUAUGCAAAAAAGAGGUUUGCCGCACGCACACAUUCUUCUUUGGAUGCGGAUGGUGAUUACACCAGAUCAAAUUGAUGAAAUCAUUUCAGCGGAAAUGCCUGAUUCAGAGAUAGAUCCAGAAUUAUACGAAGUGGUGAAAACCAAUAUGGUUCAUGGACUUUGGGAACCUUACAAUCCCACUUUGGUUUGUAUGUCUGGCAAUAAAUGCACGAAACACUACUCAUGUGCUUUUCUUUCGGAAACGGAAAUGGGAAAUGAUGGAUAUUCACUGUAUCGGCGUCGCUCGCCAGACGACAAUGGCAGAAUAUUUAGCAUUUAGAGGCGUGAAUAUCGACGUUAACAACACAUCGAAGUUGACAACACAUGGAUCGUACCAUAUUCGGCACUUUUGCCUAACUCACAUUCAAAACUCAUGUCAAUGUUGAAUAUUGUAGAUUGGUGAAAUCGAUCAAAUACGUUUGCAAGUACGUCACCAAAGAAAGCAACAUAGCGGUUAUUGGCCUUGAACAAUAUGAGAUCAGCAGUAUCAAAUGGGUCGAUAUGUGAACUGCAAUAAAGCGCUUUGUGUUGUGCGUCUCGCGGUUCAUCUUCAUUUAAGUCAUUGCGUAUUGUGAAUGGUAGAGUUUGUGCAACUUUUUGAGAAGCAUGCCAGCAGUUGCAUUUGCUGGAACAUGAUAAUCACUGGAAACAGACGAUAUGCGAUAGUUACUUCGCAUGCCACUGAAGUUCGCAUAGUUUUCGCGAAGAUCAUUUCGACAUAUCAGCCUUCAAAUUCGCGUUAAUUAUGGGAUACGAAAAAAUGACAUUGCCGAUGACAUUUUACAUUGUAUUCGCUAAGAAUUGGAGAUGGGCAAAUUUCGCUUUAUAUGUACUUCCAGGGGUGUGAUAUCAAUUUCACCUCCCUUUUGUCAAUUCACUUCAAAGAUGAAGAUGAACUCAUCACGAAUGUUUAUCCGCACAUUGGCAAAAUUAUCGUAACUGCAAUUGCUUGAGUGCACGCGCAAUUUUAGUUGCCAAAAAUACCGAUGUUAAUGACUUAAACUGGAAGAUUCAGAGUCAAAUUCCAGGAGGUUUGCGCUGAUAUAAAUCGAUCGAUCGUCUUGACAAGAAAGACGAAACCGUAAAUUAUCCAGUGGAAUUUCCAAAUUCUUUGGAGAGCCUUGGUAUGCCCCAGCAUCAUUUGCGUCUCAAAGUUGGAUCUAUCAUUAUUAUGUUUCACAAUCAUCAUGCGCCGAAACUGUGUAAUGGAACCCGACUGAUUAUGACGCAGUUAUCGAAUACAAGGGACAGCCAUUUCAGUUCAAAAGUAUUCAAUUUCCAGGGAAAAUUGCCUUUGCGUUGACAAUCAACAGGACACAAGGAAAUCGGGAAAUGCUAUGUUUUUCACACGGCCAGAUAUGUAUAUGUAUGUAUGUGGCGUGUUGACGAGUUGGAAACCCAUCUUCUCUGUAUAUUUACGCAACAGAACAGAAAUCAAAAAAUUAUGUUUAUUAAGCUGCGCUACGUUAAAAAAAAUGAAGAAAAAUCGAAAAUAAAUCAUUUUCGACACAAUAUAA